rnacentral:rRNA from 1 species
UCCCAGACUCCUACGGGAGGCAGCAGUGGGGGAUAUUGCACAAUGGGGGGAACCCUGAUGCAGCGACGCCGCGUGGGUGAAGAAGUAUUUCGGUAUGUAAAGCCCUAUCGGCAGGGAAGAAUUUAGACGGUACCUGACUAAGAAGCCCCGGCUAACUACGUGCCAGCAGCCGCGGUAAUACGUAGGGGGCAAGCGUUAUCCGGAUUUACCGGGUGUAAAGGGAGCGUAGACGGCAGUGCAAGUCUGGAGUGAAAGGCGGGGGCUCAACCCCCGGACUGCUCUGGAAACUGUACGGCUGGAGUGCAGGAGAGGUAAGUGGAAUUCCUAGUGUAGCGGUGAAAUCCGUAGAUAUCUGGAGGAACAUCAGUGGCGAAGGCGACUAUCUGGCACAUAACUGACGCUGAGGAGCGAAAGCGUGGGUAGCAAACAGGAUUAGAUACCCGGGUAGC